ensembl:misc_RNA
GAGGUCAAGAAGUAUUCUACGCAGAUACUGUUCUCUUCCUAGGACCCGGGUGAACAGUAAGAUUCCCUUAUAAGGCGCUAGUAUAAAUUCUUGCUUGAGGAUUACAAAAAGCGUCACACUGGGAUGAGGUAAGAACGGCCGGCAAGCCAGAA